GUGUGACAUUAGAUGGAGCGGAAUUUCCUUAUAUGGGUCCAAAGGGCACUUCUGCCGGAAGAGCGCGCGCUCCCGUAUAGCACAGCACUGAGAGCACAACAGACUUCACUGAUCAGAGCGAGAGCGUCGCGAAAUGUCACAAAAGAAGUGUGUUUUUGGUUGCCAGGGCAAGACAACCCUGCACAGAUUACCAAAAAAAAACAGCAUUAAGGGACCAGUGGAUGGAGUUUAUUUUUACAGAGCAUCAACGGAGUUGCAAGUGUUUUUGUUUGUUCCCUGCAUUUCGAAGAUGCUUGUUUUACAAACAAGGCCCAGUUUGACGACGGAUUUGAACAUCGUUUAUUUCUUAAAGAUAAUGCAGUCCCAACGAAAAAGUGGAACUUAGUCAUUUUCCAAAACCGCUAAGCAAAUAUAUACAGUUUCAGUACAUACCACAUAGAGACGUCGUUGCUGAUGCUGCUCUUGUUAAAUUUCAGCCUCUGGAUCUGAUUCUGGAUCAUAAAUAUACGCUGAAUCUGACUGUUAGCCAUGGUUUGUUUUGGAUGUUUUUUUCCUCACGGUAAUGUCACAACUUCCAAACGCUCUCAACGCAAAAGCUUACUCGCGCUCGUGAUUCUUUAGCUCCGCCCACACGUCACGCCUCCAGCCGGUCGUGUUUUUCUGGGAAAAAUCAGUACAGACUAUCUUUUUCUUAUGAAUAUAAUAAAACUAAAGACUUUUUGGAGUUAUGAAGGAUGCAGUACUACUCUAUAGGUACUCAAGAUUAACAGGAUAUUGAGUGAAAACGAGCAUUUAACCCCCCCUUUAACAAUGUUCUCAAAAUACAUCAGUUAUUGAGCGUUUAUAUUUACGUUUUUUUUUUUUUUUUAUGUUACUAGCUACUACUUGUUUUGGAGCAUUAAGGGAACAUACAAAGGUUGCCAUAAUGUUUGCAAAAUAAUAAAAUAGAAUGUUUCCUUAAUAUUUUCUCUUAAAAAAAAAAAAAAAAAAAAAAAGAUGUUUUGAACAUUUAACUUAAUAGGAAUGUUAGCAAAGCAUUCUUAGAAAAUUUGCUCGCUAGAAAUCUGCUGCAACCUUAGUUGUUCUUGUGUGUCAUACUAGAUUUAAUUUGGACAUGAUUCAUGAUUCAAUAAAUGUUUAUUAUUAUUUUUUUUGUUUAUUUUAUUUUUUUUAUUCGCCCUUUCCAUCAUAAAAAAAAAAAAUUGUACUGAAAUUGUAUGUAUUAUUUUUAUGGUAACUCUAUGUUCUCUUUGGAGCUUGAAAUUCACACUGACCAUUAAUAUACAGUAUGGACAAAACCGCUUUCUCCAUGAAACAAUAUGGGUGAGUAAAUGAUGAAACUGCACAUCAUCUACACUUGCAGCAUGAUCCCUCAAGCUGUGACAGACAUGAGUUUAAUCCUAUUCAGCUAUUUGAAUAUGUUUUAAAAUGCAACCUAUUUAUUUAUUUAUUUGUGAUAUCAGCCAAGGGCAUGAUCUUCAGUAACAGUAAGCUGAAUUUGUAUAAGAUCAUGUUACAAAGUUAGCCUCAUAUGAAUAUGGUUUUUGGCUCAUAACUACGUGGUGGAUGUAUAUUUUUGAACACAACCAAGAAAAAAAUGUUUUGUAUUCCAUACUCCAUACAUUUUUCAUAUAAGUUCACAGAACUGACAUGUUGAUUUACCAGGCAUGUAAAUGGAGGCAGAGUUAAAGAUUAUAAAUAGUGACACUGCUGAGUCUCUGACCCCCUUUAGGGCUUCGUGCAUUAGAACAUAUAUUUCAGGAGUGUUCUGUACAUCACAGCACAUUUACUGGAAUCAGUCUUUUG
rnacentral:lncRNA from 1 species